UUCUCAUAAGCGACACCUCCAUUCACUCGGCCACCGGAUCCUGCCUUGGCGACUCGUCAUCUUUUUCGUCUUCCCGCGAGUGCGUGUUGUUCCGGCUUCUAACAUUCCGAUAUCAUCAUUUUUAAUUUAAUCAAGUGUUUAUUUUAUCAUUCCUACUACCUAUUUUCAUCAACAUAGUAAAUAAAUAUAAUUAUACCUGUAUUCAAACUCAACAUUGUUGCUGAGGAUACUCCGUUCAAGAUAGGUAAGUAUAUUAUUGUUACCCUUCAUAGUGCAUAUCUUAUAUUAAUUGUUUCUUACCGUCGUAGGCUGUAAUAAGUAAUCUAAGUGAUUAGUGGGUAUACAUUCAUUUAUUUUGUACCCCUAUAUUCACUUUAUUACAGUAAUUUGCGGUUAAAAUUGUUAGACUGAACAGAAAUUCUUGAAAAUUUAACAGGUUUAUUAUAAGUUGUUCUUUGUGGUCAUAAAAAAAAUAAUGAAUGUAAUGUUAAAUUUUUUUAUAAAAGUUUUGACGAAAAUAUUAAAUAUUUAUAACCUUUUAAUACAUGUAUAAUCGAACUCGACUCAGAAUUGUUUUUAGUUAGCAAUGAUUAAGGAUUAAUCAUUCCAUAAACAUAUACAUAAAAUUCCCCUCUAUAAUCUACCUUUCCAACUUCUCACCAACAACAGUGGAUCACCUAUCGUGCAAAGUGUACUUUGUACACUACAGUACUUUUUUAUUAAUGAAUUUUAUUAACUCAUAUGUAAGUAUUUAAUAUUAUUUAAUAAUAUGGGUACCUAGUACCUGCUAUCUACAAUCUGUUCCUUAACUACAAAAUGAGUUUUAAGACUCGUGUAAAAACAAUUAGGUAUACCGUAUAUGGCGUAUACAAUACAUACAAUAAAAAUAUAUUUAAACUGGGGGGGGGGAGUCAGGGUUCUAGUGGAUAAGUUAUUUUUUCUUCCCCUAGAUUUUCAUCCGGUUACGCUCCUGGUGUGAUAAUGAUGAAAUUUUAGUGACUUAGCGUAAAAAUGGUAAAUUUGUAAAAAUGUCCAUAAAUAUCAUACUGUUCAUAGUGUAUUACUCUUUAUUUUAGGUAUUUAUAGUAUAUAUAUAAAUUAAUUAUUACAAUUUGUCAAUAAAAAAUAAAACAUUGUAUUUAUUAAUAUUAAUAUCAUCGCCAUGUAAAUUUAUUAUUUCAUAUUUGGGGAAAUGUUAUUAUACUGUGUUUGUAUAUUAUUUAUAAUAACAGAAUUUGAAACUAAAUAAAUAAUUAUAUACUAGGUGAUUCAUUUAAGAGGGUACACUCAUUAUCUCGGAAAGUAUUAACUUUUUCCGGAAUGUUUUCUAGAACAUUUAAGAAACAAGCUGCUCCACAAUUUUAUAUUUAUAUUAAUUAUCUUCACGCUUAUUUUUGGAGGUAAAACCACCACUUACUUUUGAAUUUCAAAUGGCAAUCUAUAUUAAAAAUUCCAUAAAUAGAUGAAAUAUUAGCUAAAAUAAAUAUUAGUGUUGAAAUUUUUGAUUUCUGUCAAAUUGUUGACCAGAUAUUCCACAUUUAAGUUUGGAUUCGAGGACAGUAGUGGAGUAUGAUUUGUGUGGCUGUACGGCGUGUGGCGUGUUAAUGAUGCACCACUAACUCUCCUCCAAAUGUAAAAAUUACUAAUUAUUAUUAUAUUAUAUUACUAGCUGUCCCGCGUUGUCCGGCGUUGUUCAUGCCAAUUUGUAUUAUUAUUAUUUUACCCAUAUUAAUUUUUGGUUUUGGCCGUGUCAGAAUUGAAUGAAAACAAAUUGGUGAAAAGUGGGUAGUCCAACUUCGGCGGACUAAAUGUGUUCUAUUGUGAAAUUUUAAUAAUGCAAAUAAUAGUAAUAGUAACAAUAAUAAUAAUAAUUAUCAUAGUUUUUUUCCGUAACAUCAAGGUAGCACUUGAAUAAACAAAAAUAAAUAAAUAAACAAUUAGAUAUUCGUAUCAAAUAUACCAAAAAACCCUUAUUUCACCCCCUUAGGGGUUGAAUUUUCAAAAAUGAUUUCUUAUUGCACGGUGAAGUAAUAGAGGAACCACUACUCCAAAUUUCAAGCGCGUACGUUGAGUAGUUUUUGAGAUACAGCGAUCAGUGAAUCGGUGGUAUUUAGAUUUUAAAUAUAUAGAUUAUUAUCAAUAAAUAACUAAUUAUUUUUUUUUUAAUUUAUUUAUUAGUAUUUGUAAGACAGGCAAUUCAUUUUUUGCUCCUGAUAUUUGGGGGGUUGGGUGUUUAUACCCCAAAUCCCCCCUACGUUCGCUCCUGUGUUUAAUAGACAAAGUAGCUAAAUCAUAGCUAUUUUAUCAUUUAUUGUUUUUAUAGAAUAUAAUAAUUAUCCCGAACAUUAACAUCACGCGUACAUGCACGAAUGUGAUAAUACAAUUAAUCCCAUAAUUUAAUUUAUUAAUCAAAAUUAUGAUUGAAUAAUUUUUUUUGACAACUACGUAAAAUGUUAGUAUUGUAGAAGGAAUGCAUGGUUAUUAUUGUCAGAAAUCCCGUUUUGUCAUUUAGUGAUUCAAUAAUAUUAAUAUAUUAAUCUAAUAAUUUAUUAUCACACGAAUAAUAAACUUACAAUAAGUAUACAGUAAAUUUAUAAAUGCAAUAAUAUAGUACAUACAUAUAAUAAGGACAUAAGUCUAUGGCACUCACUGCUCCGAGCACUUUUGAAUCUAAACACUUUUUUUUUCCUGGGGGUGGGGGGGAUUUAUUACUAAAAUUAUAUAAUACUUUUAAUAUUAUAUAUAGUCAUAACCUCAUAAAGCAGUAUACUGCCGAGUUCAAGAGUCAGGAGGUCACGACAGAGCGACCGUCUAAACACAAAUAAAAUGUAGCAAUCAAUUUUUACGUAUAUUAACCGGUAAACACUACACGUGUAUACUGUAUACAGUAUACACUAUACAUAAAAAUAGUCAUGUAUACGUACAAUAAAUUCGGAUAAUUUGUAUGUAAAAGUAAGCGGAAUUUAUAUUCGUAUGAUACUGUAUCGUCGUUAUCUUUUGUUUAAUUUCAAGUAGUCUAUAACAUGGCUAAAUAACAUGGUAUGACAACAACUGCUUAUGACGACUACGUCAUCCGGUCUCGGUAAAAAUGCGCAAAAUCAAAUAUUGUAUGAUAAAUUUAAUUUAUCACUUAUCAGAUUUGUGUCCCACUGUCUCAGUACAAAUUAGGAACACGAGAUUGUAUUUUAGCAUUAUCAUUUUAGUUAUAAUGCUAUUUAUUAGGACAUAACAACUGUAUAGUUGUUAUACAGAUGUGGGAAUGUAGAAUGAAUAGGGCAUUUGGAUUUACAUAGAGGUACUCACAAUGUAAAUAAAUUUCAUUAUUAUACCUUUUCUUUUUCAGAUAUAACACUAAGUUCAAUCCACAAUUUUUGCAGAUAUUCUUCCUUAGGAAAACGAUGAAGGAUUGGUUUCAUUUCUGCAAUUUUUGAUGCACAACUGUCACUCGUAUAAUUUUUUACUACGCACACAGAAAUACAAAAUAGAAAAAUUUCAAAAUCUC